UACGUAGGGACCGAGCGUUGUCCGGAAUCAUUGGGCGUAAAGAGCGUGUAGGCGGCUAUUUAAGUCCUGCGUGAAAUCCUGCGGCUCAACCGCAGACGGUCGUGGGAAACUGGAUGGCUAGAGUGCGGGAGAGGAGAGUGGAAUUCCCGGUGUAGCGGUGAAAUGCGCAGAUAUCGGAAAGAACACCCGUGGCGAAGGCGGCUCUCUGGAACGCAACUGACGCUGAGACGCGAAAGCGUGGGGAGCAAACAGG
rnacentral:rRNA from 1 species